rnacentral:rRNA from 1 species
AUUGAACGCUGGCGGCAGGCCUAACACAUGCAAGUCGAACGAGUGGCGGACGGGUGAGUAAUGUCUGGGAAACUGCCUGAUGGAGGGGGAUAACUACUGGAAACGGUAGCUAAUACCGCAUACCAUCGGAUGUGCCCAGAUGGGAUUAGCUAGUCGGUGGGGUAACGGCUCACCUAGGCGACGAUCCCUAGCUGGUCUGAGAGGAUGACCAGCAACACGGGAACGGAGACACGGUCCAGACUCCGAGGGGGGGCAGCAGGGGGGAAUAUUGAACAAGGGGCGCAAGCCUGAUGCAGCCAUGCCGGGUGUAUGAAGAGGGCCUUCGGGUUGUAAAGUACUUUCAGCGGGGAGGCGUUACCCGCAGAAGAAGCACCGGCUAACUCCGUGCCAGCAGCCGCGGUAAUU